rnacentral:rRNA from 1 species
UACGUAGGGACCAAGCGUUGUUCGGAUUUACUGGGCGUAAAGGGCGCGUAGGCGGCGCGGUAAGUCACUUGUGAAAUCUCUGAGCUUAACUCAGAACGGCCAAGUGAUACUGCAGUGCUAGAGUGCGGAAGGGGCAACUGGAAUUCUUGGUGUAGCGGUGAAAUGCGUAGAUAUCAAGAGGAACACCUGCGGCGAAGGCGGGUUGCUGGGCCGACACUGACGCUGAAGCGCGAAAGCCAGGGGAGCGAACGGG